rnacentral:rRNA from 1 species
AUACGGAGGGUGCAAGCGUUAUCAGGAAUCAUUGGGUUUAAAGGGUCCGUAGGCGGACUAAUAAGUCAGGGGUGAAAUCCCACAGCUUAACUGUGGAACUGCCUUUGAUACUGUUAGUCUUGAGUUAUAUGGAAGUAGAUAGAAUGUGUAGUGUAGCGGUGAAAUGCUUGGAGAUUACACAGAAUACCGAUUGCGAAGGCAGUCUACUACAUAUAUACUGACGCUAACGGACGAAAGCGUGGGGAGCGAACAGGAUUAGAAACCCUAGUAGUCC